rnacentral:rRNA from 1 species
AAGACCUUGCACUUUUGGAGCGGCCGAUGUCUGAUUAGCUAGUUGGUGGGGUAAAGGCCUACCAAGGCAUCGAUCAGUAGCUGGUCUGAGAGGACGACCAGCCACACUGGGACUGAGACACGGCCCAGACUCCUACGGGAGGCAGCAGUGGGGAAUUUUGGACAAUGGGCGCAAGCCUGAUCCAGCCAUGCCGCGUGAGUGAAGAAGGCCUUCGGGUUGUAAAGCUCUUUCAGCCGGGAAGAAAAGGUUGCGACUAAUAAUCGCGAUCCAUGACGGUACCGGAAGAAGAAGCACCGGCUAACUACGUGCCAGCAGCCGCGGUAAUACGUAGGGUGCGAGCGUUAAUCGGAAUUACUGGGCGUAAAGGGUGCGCAGGCGGUCUUGUAAGUCAGAUGUGAAAUCCCCGGGCUUAACCUGGGAACU